CAUGCGUUUAUUUUUGAAGUGAAACUUCUUUAUCGGCGUUGGAAAAAAAUUUACCGUCACAUUUUUCGGUUACGCGUCACAUUUUUCCGUUACGCGCCAUCUUUUUUGUAUUCAUGUCUAUGAUAAUAAAAUCCUUUUGUUUAAACUUUAUCUAAUUUAACUUUUUUGUAUUCAUGUCUAUGAUAAUAAAAUCCUUUUGUUUAAACUUUAUCUAAUUUAACUUUAUUUAACCAAUUUCUAGAAAGUUGCAUGUAGAUCAUUUUUCGAAAAAUAAGGCCAUAAAGAAGUUUCACUUCUUACGUGUGUACACUAGUACACGCACACAUUUUUUUCUUUUAGAAAAACUAAGAUUUCUUGAGAAAUGCCGAUAAAUUAAAAAAAAAAAAUAUUGCUUUAUGUGCGAGAGAAACAUCAAGAUCUUUCAAGCAUUAAUAUUGUCCACGUGAUACAUUCAAGUCAUUCGAAAGCUGACCUAGAAGAAAUACCUUUGUCAAAAUCUCUUGGAUACUCAAUAAGAAAGAAGCUUACUGGUUCUUUAGAAGAUGAUCGUUUAAAUAAAGAGUUUAUGGAGCAAUACCAGGAAAUGCUGAAAGCCAGCCAGGAGUCUUUGGGAACCAUCGAUGCGCUGACUCGGAAUAUGAGGGGGGUCGUUGAUGAUGAAGACAUCAACGUUUUGAAAAGUGCGGAACAGGCAGAUCAUCGCCGGCGUGCUCCUGAGAUCCAGUCCGAGUUUCGGAAGAGACACGCCAGGUCACAAGCGAUCCGCAAGAAGAAGUUAAGCGUACAAAGUCUCAAGAAUCACGUACAACACUCAAAGAAACAUAGCUUGGAUUAAUAAUAUAAUUUUUAUAAGAGACGGGAGAAAGCGGAAAUGUCCUAGCUUGAGUUUUGGGCUAAAUCACUUUUUAAACUAUUCUUAUAAAUACGGUAUGUAUUUUCAUCGUACUAACUUUUGAAAUAGUUUUAUAGCUUUGGUGUAAAGUUGGGAUUAUCGAGUUACGCCAGUAAAAUUCCGCUUUCUCCGUCUAUAAAACAAAUAGAAGAGAGUACUCGUAAACGUGAAAUGCUUUUAAAGUAAUUAAUAAAUUUACACAUUUUCUUUAUUUUUAUGUCGAAGACACUUACUUUGUUUUUAUCUAAAUAAAUAAUAUUAUAGUUUAAAAAAACUAAAAAAAAAACGCUUUUAUAGAAAAUCCAACUAAAAAAUAGAAAAUAAAUUUUAAUAAAUUUGCAUUAAAAAUAGUGUAAGAAAAAAUGAUUUUAUUGUAAAAAAAAGCGUGGGGUGCAUGGUAUCAGUAGUUAUAAAUAUUUUAUGACAGAUAUGAAUAGAAGGGUUAUUUUGAUAAUACCCUGAAAAGCAGUAGAUGGCGGUAUUUAUAUACGCGAUUAUGUGUAUAUGGGCACAAAGGCCACUAUUGGCAAUAAUUGACAUGAUAUAUAGUUUAGUUUAUUCUAUGUUAUUUUAUUUAUUUAUUAUUAGCAAGAUGAAACUGUUAUUCUACCAUAUUUGAUAUUACAUAGACGCUGUCUUGAUGUCUGAAAUGUUCGGGAAUAAUGUUAGUUUGUAAUAUUCAAAUGUAAUUUAUGUAAAAUAUAUUAAUGUUAGAGUGAUGUAAAAAUCACUAAAAUAUUCAUUGUGAAUUGUAAGCUACAUUUUAUUGAUUGUUUUGCAGUAAUUCCAUUCGUUUGUAUAAAAGAAGUUUUAGUUGCUAUAAUCAAACACAAAAUGGCUAAUAGGGAAUAUGCAUGUUUUUUUUUUAAAACGAUUCUACUUACUAGUUAUUACUUUACCAAAGAUAAAUAUAUUACAUCCGUAAUACAAAUCAUCAAAUCAUCAUCGUAUUUUUCUAAUAAAAUCACUCUCAUUUUGGGGCGAUUUAAACACGGUCAUUUUGGUACGCUUUUUCUGUGACGUCAGAUUACAGACGAAUUCGAUGUCAAAAACGGAGCGAAGUUCACAACGUUAUGGCUCCUCUUCACAAUCGGCCAUGAUGGGCCAACAAAUGAUCGUCCAUCAUCGCCGCCAUGAUCGGGCAACUCUCCACACAAUCAAUGGCGGAUCCAGGGGGGGGGGUCAUGGGGGUCACCCCCUAAGCUGGUUCCAGGACUUAGAUGGACCACUGAUUGAAUAUACCUAAUGAUUUUAUUUAUACAUAUAUUUUGUCACCAUACAGAUUUUAUGUAACUACAUACCUUCAAUAUUUAAUUAAUUUAAUAUAAUAACUUUGUAUAAUGGCAAACGUUUGGGAACGAACGCAUCUAAAUUUGACUAUGUGCCCUCCUGGCGCCAAAGUUGGAUCCGCCCUUGCACACAAUCGUGAACGUUCAUUUACUGACUGUCUACUGGUAUGUUAAGACGUCUAGGUAUCGAUGAUGGCAAUCGAGGAGAUCGCGGCUGCGGCAAUAUUUUUAGUUAGCUCACAUAGUCAAUUAGUUAAUGUGCGCGAAAAAAGAAUCGUGAAAACUUUUUUUUUAUUGCCCUUGUAGACAUACGAGCAUACGGCCCACCUGAUGGUGAGUGUUUACCGUCGCCCAUGGACUUCAGCAAUGCUAGGAGCAAAGCCAAGCCGCUGCCCACCGAUAACGAUAAACAAGAUGGAGGAAGAGAAGUUGGUGGGUGGUGGCUAUCAAUCGGAACAAAACGGGGUCCACGCAACCAUAGUUUUGUAGUCGACACAAUUGACACACAAUUGACAAUUGGUGUGGACGCUCACACAAUCAUGGGCCAUCAUUCCUUUGAUCUACCGACACAGCGCCGAUUGCGCACGAUCAUACGCGAUGAUGGCCGAUCACACACAUUUAUGCCCUCUACACUAUCGUGAGCUUCCAUAAUCGACCAUCAUGGCCGAUUGUGAAGAGGAGUCAUUAGAAAGUGUGUCGGCACCUUUGUUGGAAAGUUUGCCUACGUUUGCCGCUAGGAGCGCUGUUUCAACUGCAUACUUGAGAUAACUUUUACGCUAUCGAAAACGUUAAAAAACUCGCACUAACUAAACUCGCACACUGCAGGCUUUGGUACUGAGGGAGUUCAUAUAGUGUCCCUUCUUUAUUUCGCCAUAGUCGUGUUUUAUGUAAUUAACACCACAGUUGAAACAAUAUAAAUUUUAUUAUUGUAGCGGCAUAAACAAUUCUAAGUAAUUAUAUUACAUUUGUACGUUUUAAAUAUUUGGCGGUAAAAAGGUCUCGUGUCACAGACUAUAUUCUUUUUUCCACAUCUCGUGCGUUCCGGCUUACGCAUCAUAAAAAUGUGCGUUCAUAAACGCCACUGUACCUAUGUCAUGAAGCACAUUAUCGAAUGAGAGAGGGUUGCCUUCAGUUUGCUAUAGUCAUCUACAAAAUUUAUUAUAUUACCCGUGAGGGUCAUGACUACACAGGUAUGUAAGUACGUAGUGUUUUUAUUGAUCGAAGCUCCUAAAACUGUAAUGAAAUGGGAAGAUUUCCAUUCGAUUGUGUAGCUCCUGGAAAAUAAAUUAUAGCAAUUGCCUUUAAUUAGAUUCUGCUAUGGAGACGUUUAUUUCUUAAUAUUCUUAAUAAUAAAAUAUUCUUAAUAUCUAAA